UUUAGGAGAGAGAUGCCGCCUUGCUCCUUGAACAGGAGGAGCAAGGCGGCAUCUCUCUGAUACUAAA
ensembl:miRNA MIR4708 microRNA 4708